UCAAAUUAAAUCAAAGUUACCAAUAUUGUUAUUAGCAAUAUAGUUAUUUAACAACCGUAAAACAUGAAAAUAAUUUCAUUUUUACUUCAACUAUUCCUUAAUUUGAUUUUAUUAAAAUUGAUUAUGUUUAAUGUAAUUUUUUCUGAAGUCAGUCCUAUCUUUGAUCCUGAAGAUUUAUUUCCUUAUUGGAUUUACGGAGAUAUACAUAAAGCUAAAGGAGAAUAAAAAGUAUAGUUCAAAAGACUCCAAACUAAAUCAAAGUUAGCAAUUGUAAUAGUUAUUUGACAAUCAGAAAACAUGAAGAUAAUUUCAUUUUUACUCCAAUUGUUCCUGCAUUGCAUCGUAUUAGCAUUGAUUAUGUCUAAUGGAGUUAUUGCUGAACCCGUGCCUGAACCCAAUCCUAUGGCUGAGCCUAAACCAUUUUUCGAGAUCUUAUCUAUAAUUUCACAGCAAAUAAAAGAAAGCCAACAAAAGGCGAAAGGACAAUAAAAAAAUGUUAUAUAUAAUGCCUUUUCUCGGUCUGUCAAAAUGUAUAAGUAAAGGCACAGGCUACAAAACCGAAGAAAAAUUUUUUUUCAACAAUUUUGUAAUAAAUACAUCUUAAUAUAGUCUUAAGAAAAU